rnacentral:rRNA from 1 species
AGCAGUUAAGUUGAUUUCUUCGGAUUGAUUCUUGGCUGACUGAGCGGCGGACGGGUGAGUAACGCGUGGGUGACCUGCCCCAUACCGGGGGAUAACAGCUGGAAACGGCUGCUAAUACCGCAUAAGCGCACAGAGCUGCAUGGCUCAGUGUGAAAAACUCCGGUGGUAUGGGAUGGGCCCGCGUCUGAUUAGGCAGUUGGCGGGGUAACGGCCCACCAAACCGACGAUCAGUAGCCGGCCUGAGAGGGCGACCGGCCACAUUGGGACUGAGACACGGCCCAAACUCCUACGGGAGGCAGCAGUGGGGAAUAUUGCACAAUGGGGGAAACCCUGAUGCAGCGACGCCGCGUGAGCGAAGAAGUAUUUCGGUAUGUAAAGCUCUAUCAGCAGGGAAGAUAAUGACGGUACCUGACUAAGAAGCCCCGGCUAACUACGUGCCAGCAGCCGCGGUAAUACGUAGGGGGCAAGCGUUAUCCGGAUUUACUGGGUGUAAAGGGAGCGUAGACGGCA